GAUGAACGCCGGCGGUGUGCCUAAUACAUGCAAGUCGAACGCGUUGGCCCAAUUGAUUGACGGUGCUUGCACCUGAUUGAUUUUGGUUGCCAACGAGUGGCGGACGGGUGAGUAACACGUAGGUAACCUGCCCAGAAGCGGGGGACAACAUUUGGAAACAGAUGCUAAUACCGCAUAACAGCGUUGUUCGCAUGAACAACGCUUAAAAGAUGGCUUCUCGCUAUCACUUCUGGAUGGACCUGCGGUGCAUUAGCUUGUUGGUGGGGUAACGGCCUACCAAGGCGAUGAUGCAUAGCCGAGUUGAGAGACUGAUCGGCCACAAUGGGACUGAGACACGGCCCAUACUCCUACGGGAGGCAGCAGUAGGGAAUCUUCCACAAUGGGCGCAAGCCUGAUGGAGCAACACCGCGUGAGUGAAGAAGGGUUUCGGCUCGUAAAGCUCUGUUGUUAAAGAAGAACACGUAUGAGAGUAACUGUUCAUACGUUGACGGUAUUUAACCAGAAAGUCACGGCUAACUACGUGCCAGCAGCCGCGGUAAUACGUAGGUGGCAAGCGUUAUCCGGAUUUAUUGGGCGUAAAGAGAGUGCAGGCGGUUUUCUAAGUCUGAUGUGAAAGCCUUCGGCUUAACCGGAGAAGUGCAUCGGAAACUGGAUAACUUGAGUGCAGAAGAGGGUAGUGGAACUCCAUGUGUAGCGGUGGAAUGCGUAGAUAUAUGGAAGAACACCAGUGGCGAAGGCGGCUACCUGGUCUGCAACUGACGCUGAGACUCGAAAGCAUGGGUAGCGAACAGG
rnacentral:rRNA from 1 species